rnacentral:misc_RNA from 1 species
CAUAAUAAGUGUUUUAUGGCACUUCUUAAAUCCAUAUCCACCUUGUGUGCAAUGUCAGUCGAUUUCUUUAUGGAGAUCGACCAAACAUCAACUUAUUUUUUAACUGUCUGUCUGAAAACUAUUAUGAAUAAACAAUUCAAAUA